rnacentral:rRNA from 1 species
AUUCCAGACUCCUACGGGAGGCAGCAGUGGGGGAUAUUGCACAAUGGGGGGAACCCUGAUGCAGCGACGCCGCGUGGGUGAAGGAGCGUUUCGGUACGUAAAGCCCUAUCAGCAGGAAAGAAAAUGACGGUACCUGACUAAGAAGCCCCGGCUAACUACGUGCCAGCAGCCGCGGUAAUACGUAGGGGGCAAGCGUUAUCCGGAUUUACUGGGUGUAAAGGGAGCGUAGACGGCAGUGCAAGUCCGGAGUGAAAGCCCGGGGCUCAACCCUGGGACUGCUCUGGAAACUGUAAAGCUGGAGUGCGGGAGGGGCAGGCGGAAUUCCUGGUGUAGCGGUGAAAUGCGUAGAUAUCAGGAGGGACACCGGCGGCGAAGGCGGCCUGCUGGACCGUAACUGACGUUGAGGCUCGAAAGCGUGGGGAGCAAACAGGAUUAGAUACCCUGGUA